AACGUUGCGCCGGAAUGAACGGAUUAUAUUGAUGUUAUAAAUAAUAAGAUUAAAUUUAUGUCUUCUACGUUA
rnacentral:tRNA from 1 species